AAACCCGCCGCGAGGGCUGAGGUGUUCACACCUGCCCACGGCAGCCUGCCUCGCCCUCAAGCGCCUCAAAGCUUCCUAAGCGCUUACAUUGGUCUUGGGACAGCCGACUUUGGCUUCUUUGUUUGUUUGAGGGACCGCGGAAGUGGCGGGGAAUGUGCCCCCGCUUGAGACCGCUUAUUGUGAGCCCUCAACGGAAAUCCUGCACGGAAGGCAACCGCCUCCCCGCUCGCGUUAGAAGGCUUCAUUUGCUCUGAGUUAUCAUUGAGAACUAAAUGGAGAAGAAAAGAACUGAAGGCCUGAAGAUAUGUCAUCUGUAGAAAAGAUGGACAUCUGAAAUCAUCAAACCCUUGAGAGAAACAGCCCUCAUUCUUUUAUGAGACAACCUGGAAGAAAACAGGACUCUGAAGAUUUGUCUCCAUAUUCUCUGGAAAGAUGUACUCUGUUUGCAAUAAGAGGGAGCCACAUGGUUUAUUAGAUGGUUAUUAAUUGAGCAUUCUGUGCAAAGAAGUUUGUGCCUUAGAUUUAGAAUUCCACCCUCAGUUGGAAUACAGAUGAUCCCUAACAAGUCACAUGAAAAAAUGAACUGUGGAGCCAGAAGAGUGAGUUCUUGGAGAACUAAGGGCCAGAGACCUGUGAGCAAGAUUUGAUAAUUUUAUAAAAAUUAAAAGACGAUUUGAAAUGUUAUUGGUCUUACUAAAACUUUUACUUGUGAACUGCAAUUGAUGACAUGAUCACUUGUGCCAAUUAUAAUUUUAUACCAAAGGACUGCAGAGCAUUGGAUGGGUUUGUUGGGCAGGUUUCUCACAAACGCUGACAGAAAGGUAUGACGAAGGAUGGGAGGACAAACUGGGGGGGUGCCAAGUAGAAAAACAGAAGCGAUGGCUAAGUGCUCGUCCUGGACUCUGCCCUUUGAUAAGGGACUGAAGGUCCCUUAUGAUCUUCUUUCAAAUUCCACCGUCACAGUUUUAGUC
rnacentral:lncRNA from 1 species